rnacentral:rRNA from 1 species
UACGUAGGGCGCAAGCGUUGUCCGGAAUUAUUGGGCGUAAAGAGCUCGUAGGCGGCCAGUUGCGUCUGCUGUGAAAUCCCGGGGCUCAACCCCGGGCGUGCAGUGGAUACGGGCUGGCUAGAGGCAGGCAGGGGAGAACGGAAUUCCCGGUGUAGCGGUGAAAUGCGCAGAUAUCGGGAGGAACACCGGUGGCGAAGGCGGUUCUCUGGGCCUUACCUGACACUGAGGAGCGAAAGCGUGGGGAGCGAACAGG